rnacentral:rRNA from 1 species
GACGAACGCUGGCGGCGUGCUUAACACAUGCAAGUCGAACGGAAAGGCCUGCUUUCCCUUGUGGAUUGCGGGUACUCGAGUGGCGAACGGGUGAGUAACACGUGAGUGAUCUGCCCCCAACUUGGGUAUAAGCCUGGGAAACUGGGUCUAAUUCCCGAUAGGACUGCAGGGUGGUGCCUGUGGUGGAAAACGAUUUUCUAGUGGUUGGGGAUGAGCUCGCGGCCUAUCAGCUUGUUGGUGGGGUAAUGGCCUACCAAGGCUGCGACGGGUAGCCGGCCUGGGAGGGUGGACGGCCACAUUGGGACUGAGAUACGGCCCAGACUCCUACGGGAGGCAGCAGUGGGGAAUAUUGCACAAUGGGCGGAAGCCUGAUGCAGCGACGCCGCGUGGGGGAUGACGGCCUUCGGGUUGUAAACUCCUUUCGACCGCGAGGAAGCCACCUGGUUGGAAGGGUGGUGACGGUAGUGGUAGAAGAAGCACCGGCUAACUACGUG